GCAAGUCUGGUGCCAGCAGCCGCGGUAAUUCCAGCUCCAAUAGCGUAUAUUAAAGUUGUUGCAGUAAAAAGCUCGUAGUUGAACCUUGGGCUUGGUUGGCCGGUCCGCCUUUUUGGCGAGUACUGGACCCAACCGAGCCUUUCCUUCUGGCUAACCUUUCGCCCUUGUGGUGUUUGGCGAACCAGGACUUUUACUUUGAAAAAAUUAGAGUGUUCAAAGCAGGCCUUUGCUCAAAUAUAUUAGCAUGGAAUAAUAGAAUAGGACGUUAUGGUUCUAUUUUGUUGGUUUCUAGGACCAUCGUAAUGAUUAAUAGGGACGGUCGGGGGCAUCAGUAUUCAGUUGUCAGAGGUGAAAUUCUUGGAUUACCUGAAGACUAACUACUGCGAAAGCAUUUGCCA
rnacentral:rRNA from 2 species